rnacentral:rRNA from 1 species
GGUUCGAUUCCGGAGAGGGAGCCUGAGAAACGGCUACCACAUCCAAGGAAGGCAGCAGGCGCGCAAAUUACCCAAUCCCAAUACGGGGAGGUAGUGACAAUAAAUAACAAUAUGGGGCUCUUACGGGUCUCGUAAUUGGAAUGAGUACAAUUUAAAUCUCUUAACGAGGAACAAUUGGAGGGCAAGUCUGGUGCCAGCAGCCGCGGUAAUUCCAGCUCCAAUAGCGUAUAUUAAAGUUGUUGCAGUUAAAAAGCUCGUAGUUGAAUUUCGGAGUUUGUCGGUUGGUCGGGCUUCACUGUCCGCACUGGCCUGAUGGAUUCCUACCUUCUGAAUAACCAGCAUGCUAUUAAGUUAGUGCGUUGGGGAAGCAGAGCUAUUACCUUGAAAAAAUUAGAGUGCUUAAAGCAGGCUUAUGCUUGAAUAGAUUAGCAUGGAAUAAUAAAAUAGGACGGCAUGGUUCUAUUUUGUUGGUUUCUAGGAUCACCGUAAUGAUUAAUAGGGAUAGUUGGGGGCAUUAGUAUUCAAUUGUCAGAGGUGAAAUUCUUGGAUUUAUUGAAGACUAACUUCUGCGAAAGCAUUUGCCAAGGAUGUUUUCAUUAAUCAAGAACGAAAGUUAGGGGAUCGAAGACGAUCAGAUACCGUCGUAGUCUUAACCAUAAACUAUGCCGACUAGGGAUCGGACGAUGUUAAUUUUUUAAUGACUCGUUCGGCGCCUUACGGGAAACCAAAG